rnacentral:misc_RNA from 1 species
GAUGAAGAACGUAGCGAAAUGCGAUAAGUAAUGUGAAUUGCAGAAUUCAGUGAAUCAUCGAAUCUUUGAACGCACAUUGCGCCCAUUAGUAUUCUAGUGGGCAUGCCUGUUCGAGCGUCAUUAAGUCCACUUAAGCCCUGCUUAGUGUUGGGAGACUGCUCCAGCGGUGCUACCCUGUAGCUACCCUGCAGCUCCUCAAAGACAGCGGCGGAGUUGUGGUAUCCUCUGAGCUUAGUAACUUGUUCUAGCUUUCGAGUACACCACUUCCCCUGCCGUAAAACCCUUAAUUUUUAAUGGUUGACCUCGGAUCAGGUAGGAAUACCCGCUGAACUUAAGCAUAUCAUAAGCGGAGGA